rnacentral:rRNA from 1 species
GACGAACGCUGGCGGCGUGCUUAACACAUGCAAGUCGAACGGAAAGGCCCUGCUUUUGUGGGGUGCUCGAGUGGCGAACGGGUGAGUAACACGUGAGUAACCUGCCCUUGACUUUGGGAUAACUUUAGGAAACUGGGGCUAAUACCGGAUAGGAGCUCCUGCUGCAUGGUGGGGGUUGGAAAGUUUCGGCGGUUGGGGAUGGACUCGCGGCUUAUCAGCUUGUUGGUGGGGUAGUGGCUUACCAAGGCUUUGACGGGUAGCCGGCCUGAGAGGGUGACCGGCCACAUUGGGACUGAGAUACGGCCCAGACUCCUACGGGAGGCAGCAGUGGGGAAUAUUGAACAAUGGGCGGAAGCCUGAUGCAGCAACGCCGCGUGCGGGAUGACGGCCUUCGGGUUGUAAACCGCUUUCGCCUGUGACGAAGCGUGAGUGACGGUAAUGGGUAAAGAAGCACCGGCUAACUACGUG